UACGAAGGGGGCUAGCGUUGCUCGGAAUCACUGGGCGUAAAGCGCACGUAGGCGGAUUGCUAAGUCAGGGGUGAAAUCCUGGAGCUCAACUCCAGAACUGCCUUUGAUACUGGCGAUCUUGAGUCCGGGAGAGGUGAGUGGAACUGCGAGUGUAGAGGUGAAAUUCGUAGAUAUCUGGAGGAACACCGGUGGCGAAGGCGGCAUCCUGGACCAUUACUGACACUGAAAAGCGAAAGCCAGGGGAGCAAACGGG
rnacentral:rRNA from 1 species